UGUUAUACGUUUGGUUGUGUGAGUGAUGUCUUGGACUCUCCGCCAUUGAAUUUCAUUUUAGCCGAGAAUUGAAAUAGGGUGAACCUUUCGCAAUCGGCAAAAAUCUUACCAAUCCUUUUUCUAUUUCUUAUUCUAUUUAGUCAUAUUUCGUGCACAAACAUUAUAUCCAAUGGCAGACAGAGACACAGAUGAGUUAAACAUCGAUAACGUAAUAAAAAAAUUAUUAAAAGUGCGAGGCGAGAAGCCUGGCAUGAAUGUACAGUUAUCGGAAAUUGAGAUUAAAGGGCUAUGCUUGAAAUCACGAGAAAUAUUCUUGUCACAACCGAUAUUACUUGAGUUAGAAGCACCAUUAAAAAUAUGUGGUGACAUCCACGGUCAAUACUAUGACUUGUUAAGGCUGUUUGAAUACGGCGGUUUUCCACCAGAGUCAAAUUAUUUGUUCCUCGGCGACUACGUGGACCGCGGUAAACAGUCAUUAGAAACGAUAUGUCUGCUACUCGCGUACAAGAUUAAAUAUCCAGAGAACUUCUUCUUAUUAAGAGGGAACCAUGAAUGCGCUAGCAUUAAUAGAAUUUAUGGAUUCUACGACGAAUGCAAAAGGAGGUACAACAUCAAACUAUGGAAAACUUUCACGGACUGCUUCAACUGUUUACCGGUUGCCGCGAUAGUUGACGAGAAGAUCUUCUGCUGCCACGGCGGUCUAUCUCCAGAUUUACAGGCGAUGGAACAAAUCCGACGGAUCAUGCGACCGACCGACGUGCCCGACCAGGGCUUACUCUGCGACCUGCUUUGGUCCGAUCCGGAUAAGGACACCGCCGGUUGGGGAGAGAACGACCGUGGCGUCAGCUUUACAUUCGGCAUUGAGGUGGUGGGCAAGUUCCUGUCGAAACACGAGUUCGACCUGAUCUGUCGGGCGCACCAAGUGGUCGAGGACGGCUACGAGUUCUUCGCCAAGCGGCAGCUCGUCACGCUGUUCUCCGCGCCCAACUACUGCGGGGAGUUCGAUAACGCAGGCGCGCUGAUGUCGGUGGACGAGACGCUGAUGUGCUCGUUCCAGAUCCUGAAGCCGGCCGACAAGCGCAAGCUGUACUCCGGCCUCAACAUGGGCCGCCCCAACACGCCGCCGCGCGCGCAGCCCAAGAACAAGAAGAAGUGAGUCGCCCCGAAGUAUGUCGCAUAGGUAGGCGGCUGCCGAGGGGUCGCCUGGUGGCAAGCGGUCACCGCUGUCCAUAGAUAUUGUUAAACCCCCGACCGCCGCCAUCGCAUCGAAGUCGACGACUUGCAUGGAUUCCCACGCUAAUUAAUUAUCUUUUAAUUAAAUCAAUAUCAUCGCCAUUUCCUUUCAAAUAUUUGAAACCCGUAAUAAUUUUGCCUAUAAAUGUAUCGCCUUCGUAUUGUCGAUUCUUCCAACUUCAAACAAAAUCAUUUAUUUAUAUUCAAUUUUUUGUUUUGUUAACACAAAUUCACGUCGAAUAGUUUUAAUGUUUGAUUUCAUUCGAUUUAACAAUUGCUGGACAAUUGUGUUCAGUGUAGACAUGGGCUUAUCGGCUAACAAAAUCUUUGCCUUGAGUUACAAAUUUAAAAAAAAAAUCACUAACUGUCACAAGUAUGCAACAUUCACUUUAAAGUAAAAAACACGUAAUUGAAAUUCCAAGCUCACAGCUUCCUUAUAGCGUGAGCUACGAGUGUUGUAAGUGUAAACAAAUGGCUCCGGGGAGUCCAAGUGGGAGGCGCGUAAGGUGUGAAUGCUAGUAUGUAUUAUUGUAUGUUCGUUCGUAUGUCUGCUCUUACGCUUGUGUCGUACUCAAUAUCCAUAUUUGUAAGGCGUUACGCGAUUUUGAUGUAGCAUUCUAUGAUUAUUUAGCAACAGUCUCACUGCCAAUGAACGGAAACGGAUCGCUCCGACGGCAAGUACAGCCGGAUUGUUACAUUGAAACCGCGCAGCGAUAUUAAUUAAUGACUUUGAGUAUAUCGGAUAAACGUUUAUAAUUAAGUAGUAAGCGUAAUUAUUUGUGAACAGCCUAGGUCUUCCGAGACGAUUACAUUUUCGACGUUUCAACCGUCCUCUAGUGGUUGGACGCUUUUAGAUCAUGGUGUAGUGUGCUUUGUGCGUACUUCGUGUCUGCGAUCCCGCGCUGUAUAAACCUUUUUAAAUAAGGCCGCUCCCGCACGGACCGUUUUAACUGACUCUGUUUUUUUUUUACUUUUGUAUAGUGCAAUGACCUUAAUGAAAUGAAAAUAAAAAAAAAUUAAAAUAUUGAACGUGUUUUAUUAAAUGAAGCGAUUCGAAUCGCAUGAGCGUCUUUUUAUAAUAAUUAUGAUAAAAUGUAUUUAUAAAAACUUAAUUUUUGUCAUGUAAUUAUUAAUCGGUCCGUGUCCAACUCCAAACAGUAACAUUUAAAAAAAACCAUUGGAGCGCGGGAAGCGAUGCAUUGAAUCACUAUUUAUUUUCGCUAUGAAUCAGACUGAGCCCCGUACGUGGCCGAUGGCCGACUUAAAUCAAUGAUUUAUUGAUGUAUGAACAAGAGAAUUGUAUAUUAAUUUCGUAAAUAAAAUACUUUCUGAAUA